GCGCAGCAGUCGCGAAAACUUCACACUGUGCGAAAGCACGAUGAGGGAAUCCCAAGUGCUUGCACGUAAGUGUAAGCUGUUUCUCUGUCUAAAACGCAGAGAGAGUAAGGGCUGGGUAAGACGGGUGCCAGCCGCCGCGGUAAUACCUGCAGCUCAAGUGGUGACCGUUAUUAUUGGGCCUAAAACGUCCGUAGCCGGUUUAAUAAAUGCCUGGGUAAAUUGUGUAGCUUAACUAUACGAAUUCCGGGUAGACUGUUAAACUUGAGACCGGGAGAAGUUAGAGGUACUCCUGGGGUAGAGGUGAAAUUCUGUAAUCCUAGGGGGACCACCAGUGGCGAAGGCGUCUAACUAGAACGGGUCUGACGGUGAGGGACGAAGCCCUGGGGCGCAAAC
rnacentral:rRNA from 1 species